rnacentral:lncRNA from 1 species
AUAGGGAGGUCGAGACACACAAAGUAACCCUAAUGCAUUAGGGAUCAAAGGUCAAAAGUUAACGAGAUAGAAGCUGAAAGUUUCACGGUGCAUGUGGUUUGAUACUGUGUUUCGCUUCGCUACAUUGUGGAGCGCGACGCGUCCCGUUCCCGUGUUAUGCUACCUAGACGCGUGUAUAUAUCGUUCACCUUUGAUCUUUGACCCCUUAUUAAUUAGGGAUGUUUUGCAUGUCUCGACCCUCCUGCCGAUCGAUACCAUUUUUUCUGGGCUUUGCGGUGUGUGCAGUCUUGCCCAGCGUAUUGUGAAGG